rnacentral:rRNA from 1 species
GACAGAGGUGCCGAGCGUUAGGCGGAAUCACUGGGCUUAAAGCGUGUGUAGGCGGAUGGGUAAGUACCUUGUGAAAUCCCACGGCUCAACCGUGGAACUGCUCGGUAUAGUGCUCGUCUUGAGCCAACUAGGGGCGACCGGAACCAACGGUGGAGCGGUGAAAUGCGUAGAUAUCGUUUGGAACGCCGAUGGUGAAAACAGGUCGCUGGGGUUGUGCUGACGCUGAGACACGAAAGCCAGGGGAGCGAACGGG